CCCUGCUCUCACUCGCCGGCGCCCAUGGGGGCUGGGAGCGCAGACGCCUGGCUCUCGCGGCUGGGCGCCCGGGACGCCCCGCGGCUCUCGGGGUUCGGUGCCGCGCAGGCCCUGUUCGAUUUUAGAACCUUGCUUUCUUGGAAGGAAUCCUGGACCUUCAGUUUUCCAGUCGUGGGAAAGAAGAUACAUAGUAUCAUUUAGAAGCUCACCUGUCCACAGCUAUCUUGGCACAUUUCAAGCGAAUCCUCAAGGUAUUCUUUGGUUCGUUCACUGGUUGGAGAGUAGUGUACAGCAUGUGAGGAAGUCUCAUCUUAUGAAGGGAUUGAGAUGUAAAGCUUGAGAUAUCAGUGAUCAUAUUUCUGCCACCUGGGAAAAGGCUGGCUCAGUGUGAGAAAAACUGGCACAGAGCAAAGAGAGAGCAACCAAGAGAGAGAAAAAGAGAAAGAGCUUACACCAUCCAGGUUUCUGAUGAUAGGCGGCAGCUAGCCAUAAUGGGAAAAUGCAGAGGGAACCUAAACCGAAGAGCUCACAAGAUCUUUGAGAGAAAAUAUUGUGCUUAGACUUCUCGAGUCACAGGCGACCUCAGUCCUGUAGACUGGACCUAGGCAAUCUCAGACCUCAGAGGCUAAUGUGUGGUUCCCAUUGUAGAGACAGCCCACUUCCAGUCUGUGAAAAGCACACUGAUACUUACAACUGUCUGGAAUCCCUGCCUUUGUUUUGUGUUUGUCAUUGUUCUAAGUCCUUUUUGGGCUCCAGGAAGGACAGGACUGACUGGUAAUAUCUUUAUGACAAGAGACUGAAGCUACCCCUACGGAAGAACAAAGCCUUGAACAGAUGCCCCAGAUGAGAACCAUUACCUGUAGU